CAGGAAAGAGCUUGCUCUUUUGCUGACGAGUGGCGCACGGGUGCGUAACGCGUAUACAAUCUGCCUUUAAGCGGGGAAUAGCCCAUGGAAACGUGGAUUAAUACCCCAUAGUAUUAUGAUUUCACCUGGAAUUAUAAUUAAACAUUUAUGGCUUAAAGAUGAGUAUGCGUCCUAUUAGUUAGUUGGAAAGGUAACGGCUUCCCAAGACAUCGAUAGGUAGGGGUCCUGAGAGGGAGAUCCCCCACACUGGUACUGAGACACGGACCAGACUCCUACGGGAGGCAGCAGUGAGGAAUAUUGGACAAUGGAGGCAACUCUGAUCCAGCCAUGCCGCGUGCAGGAAGACUGCCCUAUGGGUUGUAAACUGCUUUUAUACGGGAAGAAACGGAGCUACGUGUAGCUUUUUGACGGUACCGUAAGAAUAAGGAUCGGCUAACUCCGUGCCAGCAGCCGCGGUAAUACGGAGGAUCCAAGCGUUAUCCGGAAUCAUUGGGUUUAAAGGGUCCGUAGGCGGGAUAAUAAGUCAGUGGUGAAAGUCUGCAGCUCAACUGUAGAAUUGCCAUUGAUACUGUUGUUCUUGAAUGAUUAUGAAGUGGUUGGAAUGUGUAGUGUAGCGGUGAAAUGCAUAGAUAUUACACAGAACACCUAUUGCGAAGGCAGAUCACUAAUAAUGUAUUGACGCUGAUGGACGAAAGCGUAGGUAGCGAACAGGAUUAGAUACCCUGGUAGUCUACGCCGUAAACGAUGGUUACUAGCUGUCCGGCCCAAUUGAGGGCUGGGUGGCCAAGCGAAAGUGAUAA
rnacentral:rRNA from 1 species